CAGAGGGUAGUGUAGAGGUAACAUGCAAACUUUGGGAGUUUGUGUCGGAGGUUCGAUUCCUCCUCUUCUGACCA
rnacentral:tRNA from 1 species